UACGAAGGGGGCUAGCGUUGCUCGGAAUCACUGGGCGUAAAGUGCACGUAGGCGGCUUGUUAAGUCAGGGGUGAAAUCCUGGAGCUCAACUCCAGAACUGCCUUUGAUACUGGCGAGCUUGAGUUCGGGAGAGGUGAGUGGAACUGCGAGUGUAGAGGUGAAAUUCGUAGAUAUUCGCAGGAACACCAGUGGCGAAGGCGGCUCACUGGCUCGAUACUGACGCUGAGGUGCGAAAGCGUGGGGAGCAAACAGG
rnacentral:rRNA from 1 species